AACGAACGCUGGCGGCGUGCCUAACACAUGCAAGUCGAACGAAACGGCCCGGCUUUUGUGCGGUGCUCGACGUACGAACGGGGGACUAGCCCUUGGGUACCCUAUACCUCACUGUAGGGGAUCUUCAUGAAACUUGGUCUCAUACCGCAUAAGAUCUCCUGCUGCAGGGUGGGCGCUGGUAAGUUUCGGCGGUUGGGGAUGUACUCGCGGCGUAUCAGCUUGUUGGUGGGGUAGUGGCUUACCAAGGCUUUGACGGGUAGCCGGGCUGAGAGGCUGACCCGGGAAAUUGGGACUGAGAUACGGCGCAGAAUGGUACGGGAGGAAGCAGUGGGGAAGAGUGCACAAUGGGCGGAAGCCUGAUGUAGAAACGCCGCGUGCGGGAUGACGGGCUUCGGGUUGUAAACCGCUUUCGACUGUGACGAAGAGUGAGUGACGGUAAUGGGUAAAGAAGCACCGGCUAACUACGUG
rnacentral:rRNA from 1 species